GACGAACGCUGGCGGCGUGCCUAAUACAUGCAAGUCGAACGCAGUGGGGACGGGUGAGUUACACGUGGGUAACCUCCCAUCAGAGGGGAUAACACUGGGAAACAAGUGCUAAACCGAUACUGAUUGAUGGACCCGCGGUGCAUUAGCUAGUGGGUGUGGUAACGGCUCACCAAGGCCACGAUGCAUAGCAGACCUGAGAGGGUGAUCGGCCACACUGGAACUGAGACACGGCCCAGACUCCUACGGGAGGCAGCAGUAGGGAAUCUUCGGCAAUGGACGAAAGUCUGACCGAGCAACGCCGCGUGAGGGAAGAAGGUUUUCGGAUCGUAAAACUCUGUUGUUAGAGAAGCGGUAUCUAACCAGAAAGCCACGGCUAACUACGUGCCAGCAGCCGCGGUAAUUC
rnacentral:rRNA from 1 species